CGCCAGGAACCAUGCGGGCAGACGCCGCCCAACCCCGCCAGGUCCGGAAGGAAGCAACGGCAAGCGGAAGUCUGCAGCGCCGUGGACCUCCUGGUACGG
rnacentral:SRP_RNA from 1 species